CCACUUCUUGUUUUUUUUCUUCUUCUUCUUCCUCUUUUUGUCCUUGUCUUUGUCCUUGAGAGGAAGAUGACGCACGUGGUGUAUCCAAAAGGCCGGGAUUAGCA
rnacentral:ribozyme from 12 species